rnacentral:rRNA from 1 species
GACGAACGCUGGCGGCGUGCUUAACACAUGCAAGUCGAACGGAAAGGCCCUGCUUUUGUGGGGUGCUCGAGUGGCGAACGGGUGAGUAACACGUGAGUAACCUGCCCUUGACUUUGGGAUAACUUCAGGAAACUGGGGCUAAUACCGGAUAGGAGCUCCUGCUGCAUGGUGGGGGUUGGAAAGUUUCGGCGGUUGGGGAUGGACUCGCGGCUUAUCAGCUUGUUGGUGGGGUAGUGGCUUACCAAGGCUUUGACGGGUAGCCGGCCUGAGAGGGUGACCGGCCACAUUGGGACUGAGAUACGGCCCAGACUCCUACGGGAGGCAGCGGUGGGGAAUAUUGCACAAUGGGCGGAAGCCUGAUGCAGCAACGCCGCGUGCGGGAUGACGGCCUUCGGGUUGGAAACCGCUUUCGCCUGUGACGAAGCGUGAGUGACGGUAAUGGGUAAAGAAGCACCGGCUAACUACGUG